CUUGGAAAUAGCAAAAUAAAAAAGCUGAUUUCCUGCCGGGUGUGGUGGCUCACAUCUAUAAUGCCAGCACUUUGGGAGGCUGAGGCAGGCAGGUCAUUGCAGGAAAACAUGAAGAACGGGGAAAGUAGCUGCCGCAUGCCAAUGUGAAACUCCGAGGAGUCUAGCCAUUCUGAUCUGGCCUUCCAGGUCAUUAGGAGGCUCUGCCAUCGUGUGAGGAGGGAAAGCCUGCUGUCUGGAGAGCACACUGGUCUCCAGCGUGGGGAGAGAGAGCACUUUCGGGCUUUGCUGAGGAGGGUCUUCAGAAAAAAGAGUACUGCCAACAAGAAGGCCCAAUCAAGAUCCUCCCACAACAAGAGCAGAUUGUGAGCGUGGCAAGCUCUAUGCUGAGCACUGGAAGGACAAAGAGAGAUUGGGCACAGACUUCUCACUGAUCCAGGUGAUGAAGAGCUCACAUCUGAGAGGAUGUGACCAUGGAUGACCCACCAGAAUGUCAUGGGAUCCAGCUACAGCCAAGGAAGCACAGAGCACCGUGGGAGCGAUUUAUUGUGCUUGGGGAUGGGGAAGGGGACAUGGGAGGAGCCAUAUUGAGAAAGUAGCAUGGGUACUUGGCUUCACAGAGUGUGGCAGCUUUCAUCAGGAAGUGAUGGUGGGGGAACAGCGUCUCUGGCGGAGGGAAGCAGCAGGUGCAGAGGUGCAGAGGUGUGAGGAGUCUGUCACAUUCUGGGAAGGGAGUAUGGUUGGGUGACAAUGCAAGACAGAGAAAGCAAGGAGGGAAGGAGGGGCCUAGCCUGAGGAAUAAAGAAUAAUAAAAGCAGGAAAACAAU
rnacentral:lncRNA from 10 species